rnacentral:rRNA from 1 species
AUGCCUCAUACAUGCAAGUCGAACGAGGUCUUCGGACCUAGUGGCGCACGGGUGAGUAACAUGUGGGAAUCUACCUGAAGGUUCGGAAUAACUGCGGGAAACUGUAGCUAAUACCGGAUGUGUCUGCAAAGAGAAAGAUUUAUCGCCUUCAGAUGAGCCCGCACUAGAUUAGCUAGUUGGUGAGGUAACUGCUCCACCAAGGCUACGAUCUAUAGCUGAUUUGAGAGGAUGAUCAGCCACACUGGGACUGAGACACGGCCCAGACUCCUACGGGAGGCAGCAGUAGGGAAUAUUGGACAAUGGGGGAAACCCUGAUCCAGCAAUGCCGCGUGAGUGAAGAAGGCCUUCGGGUUGUAAAGCUCUUUCAUCAAUGAUGAUAAUGACAUUAGUUGAAGAAGAAGCCCCGGCUAACUUCGUGCCAGCAGCCGCGGUAAUACGAAGGGGGCUAGCGUUGUUCGGAAUCACUGGGCGUAAAGCGUAUGUAGGCGGAUCAAAAAGUUAGAUGUGAAAUCCCUGGGCUCAACCCAGGAACUGCAUUUAAAACUAGUGAUCUAGAAUUUGGUAGGGGUUAGUAGAAUUUCCAGUGUAGAGGUGAAAUUCGUAGAUAUUGGAAAGAAUACCAGUGGCGAAGGCGACUAACUGGGCCAUUUUUGACGCUGAGAUACGAAAGCGUGGGUAGCAAACAGGAUUAGAUACCCUGGUAGUCCACGCAGUAAACGAUGAGUGCUAGUCGCUGGGACAAUAGUUUCAGUGUCGAAGCUAACGCAUUAAGCACUCCGCCUGGGA